rnacentral:rRNA from 1 species
CGCCUGCCCUGUGACCAAAAGUUUAACGGCCGCGGUAUUUUAACCGUGCAAAGGUAGCGCAAUCAAUUGUCUUUUAAAUGGAGACCUGUAUGAAUGGCAUAACGAGGGUUUAACUGUCUCUUUUUUCCAGUCAAUGAAACUGAUCUGCCCGUGCAGAAGCGGACAUACUUACACAAGACGAGAAGACCCUAUGGAGCUUUAGACGCCCACCAACUAUGAAAAGUAACCAUGUCAACGGAACUCCAAACAACAUACCCCUGGUACAAACGUCUUCGGUUGGGGCGACCACGGGGGAAAACGAAGCCCCCGAGAGGAUAGGGGAAUACCCUAAAACCAAGAACUACAAUUCUAAGUCACAAAAUGUUUGACCAAUUAAUGAUCGUUACGCCGAUCAACGGACCAAGUUACCCUAGGGAUAACAGCGCAAUCCCCUCCCAGAGUCCAUAUCGACGAGAGGGUUUACGACCUCGAUGUUGGAUCAGGACAUCCUAAUGGUGCAGCCGCUAUUAAGGGUUCGUUUGUUCAA